rnacentral:rRNA from 1 species
GAUGAACGCUGGCGGCGUGCCUAAUACAUGCAAGUCGAACGCAUAGCGAAAGGUGCUUGCCCCUUUCAAGUGAGUGGCGAACGGGUGAGUAACACGUGGACAACCUGCCUCGAGGCUGGGGAUAACAUUUGGAAACAGAUGCUAAUACCGAAUAAAACUUAGUGUCGCAUGACACAAAGUUAAAAGGCGCUUCGGCGUCACCUAGAGAUGGAUCCGCGGUGCAUUAGUUAGUUGGUGGGGUAAAGGCCUACCAAGACAAUGAUGCAUAGCCGAGUUGAGAGACUGAUCGGCCACAUUGGGACUGAGACACGGCCCAAACUCCUACGGGAGGCUGCAGUAGGGAAUCUUCCACAAUGGGCGAAAGCCUGAUGGAGCAACGCCGCGUGUGUGAUGAAGGCUUUCGGGUCGUAAAGCACUGUUGUAUGGGAAGAACAGCUAGAAUAGGAAAUGAUUUUAGUUUGACGGUACCAUACCAGAAAGGGACGGCUAAAUACGU